GCGGGGUUGGCCGAUUCGCGUCCCGCCGGAGACCUACGCUCACCCGGCCACCCCCGGGGUUGGACCAGGCCUGCCCCGCUGCCUGCUUUCUUCGGUCCGUCGCUACGCCAGCACCUCCGGGCUAGCGCUGGAGCAAAGAGCAAGCUGCUGCAGCCCAGCUUCUGGCUUAGUACCCUGCCUGGCAUGUACCAAGAACUCAACACUUGUGAAAUGAAAUGAAUUUCCGAUCUAUGCGUCCUCCCCAAGAAGAGUUGCCAAGUCAAAUGAAUCGACCAUUUUUCCAGCUUUGGCAACCAACUGUCUUCACAACCUCUCCACCCACCACCGAGGUGCUGUGCGAGAACUAAUCUUGCGUCAGUUGGGCACUGAGAAUGCAAGCAAGGCCACCUGCUGAACAGAAACCAAGGAGAGAGGAAAUAGUACAAUGCCUGGGCUAGAAAAGGCCGAGUUCUCCUAGACUGCCCCCAUGCACCUCCCCAAAGUUCUAGGGCCAGCUCUCAGGAGUACGGUGUGGUUCUCUCUGUAGCUUGAACCUCCUUUGGGGUGUGUGAGCCAUGGGGGUACCCCAGGAACCUCAGAAUGAUGUGGUGGUGGCUCCUGGCCACGUAGUGUAUUAACUUCCCUGGCGGGGCAGGAGGGGAUUGUUCUGGGCAGGUUUCUCCUCCACUCUCCUGUGACUGGCUUGGAUUUGGUGAGGGGCUUGGAGGGGACCAAGAGCCUCGGCUGGAGCUGGGAACGAGUUCUUCACCUUUUACUCCUGGCGGCAGGCAGAGCUUGUGUGUCAUCCAGCUGAAGGAAAAACGGGGGCCAGCCGGCUGGAGCAUGCAGUGGAAACAGGCACAGAUACUGCUGGAGAUGAUCCUGAAAGUUGCCACCAAUCAGGGCCCCAUUCUGGGGUUGUGCUUCCCCCUCUGGAGGGAAGUUUCCAGGCUCAUGAAGUGCUGCUGCACCCGGGUGUUCCCUGCCUGGAGGCAGCUGUGUACACAGGGCCCAAAGCUUGGCCCUCAGAGCCAUCAGCCCAGCCUUUCAGUUCUGGUACCAGGCAGUGCACUCACUCCACUGGCUGCAAAGGCCCUUCGACGCUCCCACCCAGAAAUGACGACAUGGCUAGUGAGGCUGACAGUCUUGCUGUAAUUGGGAGAAGAUGGGCUGCAGCGCGUUUGGCAGAAAGAGUCACCAGCAGCCAAAGGUGGGGUUGUGUAGGCAGCUGAGGGGCUCAGGGCCCCCUGCCUCACGUGGUGGGGAGAGGAAGAAGAAAGAGGUCAAAUUC